AGAACUAUAGCCUACAUCUUUUGUGUAUCUCUUUUGAGAUACAGCACUACAUUUAUGUUCAGAAAACUGUAUGUGUAACUUAAAUUUGUAAAUAUUCUAUUGGUAUCGGCAAGUUAGUAUUUACUGUGAAGCCCUGUUAGACCCUGAGCAGAUUACAGCUGUAAAGGCAAAAGUUAAGUUUGUUGUAUUUCUUUCCUAUUUUUUAAAGCAGCAAUCUUGUAUUGAAAUGUUUGAUUUCAGUCUGAGCUUUAUUACUAUCUUUGCCUGUGCCUUGUAGUUGCACUAUAUCAACAUUCAAUGUACAUUUGGUCACUAAGGUUUGAAUGGAAGUACAGAAAAGACAUUUCAUUUGAGUUUCAAGGCAAACUGGGAAGCAGCUGCAGUGCAGCCUAACUUACUGAGAUUCUCAAAACAUGCUGCCACCCUCCUCCCUUACAAAGGUUUAAGGUUAGAAUUUCAGGAUCCAGGUCUAGGAUCCAUUUCUGCUCCAAAAUGUUAUGAUGAAGUGGCUUCUGCAGCGACAAAUUGCAAAGACCAGAUGACGUAUUUCCAAAGCAGUCACCGUGCCUGUACUCACCCAAACUAAGCAGUUCAUCAGCCAGCGGACCGAAGCAAACCCUGAAUAUGGGACACUCUUCCAUGACAAACCAAAAAAUUGCUGGUAUCUACACUCGGCUUGAUGGAGCUGCAAGUUGAUUCGGAUAAGCUUUGGAUUUUCCAGAGGAGCACACCAAUAAAAAACCUUCCUGACGUAUUUAAUCGUGGACAGUUUAAGCUGUGUUGUCUUGUAUAGGCAGCAGCAUUAAUUUUAUAUUGUUUAUUCACAGUAAAUUGAAUUAUAUUGAUAUCAAUAUUAUUGAUAACCCCUCCUUUUAAGAAAGGGGGGCAGUUCUCAUUCCAGUAUAGCAUCCAAAGCUUUAACUAAUGUGUUUUUUUUUCCUCAAAUCAAUGUCUUUUAUCUUAGGUGAAACAAUAAAAAUGGCAAACAAGGGCAAUUCUGUUAUCUCAGCCCCCUGUAGGGGUGUGUUAGCAUUUUUUUGCAGUUACUAAUUUAAAAUCACUGGAUGAUUCCAGUUAGCAGUCUCAGAGUAUGUUUCUUUAUUUCUAUGGGUGAGUUGGAGCGGGAACUCAAAGUAGCAUGAUUUGUAAGAGUAUCACUUUUACUGGUGAAUAUGUUUCCUGCAAUAUACCUGUUUAUUUACCUGACAGUUCUGUCCAAAACAACACACAAACAAACAUCUGUAAGGGGGGCAGUUUCCAAGGGCUGCUAGGUCUGGGACCAGUGAAUGUGAGAUACUUAAUGGGAAACAAAGCUAUGCAAAACAUCAUAGAAGCCAGUUCAGAAAAACUAUUCAAAUAAGUAGCACCAAGAUAGUCUAGAUGGAACUAAGUCUAAGUAGAAAAUACAGCAGAGUAUUAUGUAGCACCAAGGGAAACCAUGACCAGUGCAGAAAAAGAGUUGGUUGGUGGUAGGAAAUUUCUGGAAGAGACCGAUCUUAAGAGAUUUCUUUAUAGUUGUGAGCGAUUCAUGUAAGUAUGUGGUUUGUUGACGAGUUAACCAGUCCUAAAAGGGGUUGCGCAGUGACCUGAUGCUGCUUAAUGUCACAACCUUGAGCUGGAAUCUUUUUUUUUUUUUUUAUUGCCCACCACCACCCCCCCUCUUCGGAGGACAACUUUAUUUUACAUUACAUU